AUACGUAGGGAGCGAGCGUUGUCCGGAAUUACUGGGCGUAAAGGGCGCGUAGGCGGCGCUUCAAGUCGUCUGUCAAAUGGGAGGGCUUAACCCUUUUUCGCAGACGAAACUGGAGAGCUUGAGAAGCAGAGAGGCAAACAGAAUUCCUGGUGUAGCGGUGGAAUGCGUAGAUAUCAGGAAGAAUACCAGUGGCGAAGGCGGUUUGCUGGCUGCAUACUGACGCUGAAGCGCGAAAGCCAGGGGAGCAAACGGGAUUAGAUACCCCGGUAGUCCUGGUAGUAAACGAUGUAUGCUGGGUGUGAGACUAGCGAUAGUUUCGUGCCGAAGUUAACGCGAUAAGCAUACCGCCUGGGGAGUACGGUCGCAAGAUUGAAACUCAAAUGAAUUGACGGGG
rnacentral:rRNA from 1 species